UAUUAUAUUUAAUGUUAAUAUAUUACCUGGGUAGUAUUAGGUGAGGUCUUGAAAUCUAAAGAAUUUGGCGGUGUUUUAGUCCUUUCAGAGGAAUCUGUUCUGUAAUUGAUAAUACACGAUUUGUUUUACUUGAUUUUGUUGUCAAUUUGUAUAUCGCCGUCAUAAGAUUAUUUUUGUUGAGAAUUUAAUUUUCUUGGUCUUUUAUUAGAUAGUAUGUCAGGUCAAGGUGCAGUUUAUGAUUAAGUAGAAAUGGAUUACAAUAAUUUUAAUUAUUAUGGAUAAUUAUUUUAGGUUGAUUUGAAAGUGGAUUUGAUUGUAAUUUUAUUUUUAAUUGUUAUGUUGAUUGGGGCUCUAUAAUGUGUACAUAUCGCCCGUCGCUCUCGUUAUUAAAAUGAG
rnacentral:rRNA from 1 species